rnacentral:rRNA from 1 species
GGAUCAAAUUGUUGGUCGUGCUUCGGUACGCACUGGCAUUAUUGGUUCCUACCUUCUGAAGAACCGCGAUGUCAUUAAUUUGGUGUCGUGGGGAAUCAGGACUGUUACUUUGAAAAUUAGAGUGUUUAAAGCAGGCAAUCGCUUGAAUACAUUAGCAUGGAAUAAUAGAAUAGGACUUGGGUUCUAUUUUGUUGGUUUCUAGGACCGAAGUAAUGAUUAAUAGGGAUAGUUGGG